CUCUCGAAAAACUGGAAAGAAUUUCCUUGUCGUGAGAAGAUCAAUGUGUGUCUAUUGAAGAGGAGACAACUGCAAACAGAUUCACGGCCUCAGGGUCUCCCCCGCACACCCAUUCCUUGUGGCAGAAGAUCUGACUGCAGCUGAACUGGAAAAGAACCUAUUUGGCGCUUCUCUCCCAGAACCCUGCUUCCUUGAACGCGAAGGCGAAUCAUUUCAUCCGUGGCUCAUGAACCCCGGAUCCUUCCAAUCAGCUCUAAUGAAGGAAUUGUUCCUCAGUCUUGCCUUCUAAACACAGCAAGUUUAGCACUGGCUCACAUCAAAGCUCAAUGGAGAGGCAAGAUGGGGGAAACAAUAUUUGUUCAAAGGAAGUGAACUGCUCCCUUUAAUUACCCUAUUCUUCUUUAUUAGGAUUCUUGAGUUGUUGGGUGUUUCUUUUUAACAAAUUAAAAAAAGUGUAUUUCUCGAUAGCGUAUUUACAAUGUAAAUAUAUUCCUGGGAGAAAACGUCACGGAUCAAUUGUAAAGGACCCGGAUACAUAAUUUUAAAAAAUCAGUUUCAGUGUAUAUGAGGUUCUCACCCCACUUUCGCUUCUUAGUCAGAUUUGUUUAUGC
rnacentral:lncRNA from 1 species